UCUCCCUCCUUUCCUUCUCUCCUCCUGUCUCUUCUCCCCGCCCCACCAGCCGGCAGCCCGGCUGUGCUGGGAAAGGGCGGGCGCCGGCGUCUGCUGGGGUGGGUGAGAGCGAGAACGAGUGAGAGAGCGAGCUCGCCAGUGCCCGAGUCGGUGCCGGAGCCGGAGCCGGAGCCAGAACCCGAGCCUGAGCAAUCUCGGGGCAUCUCGGGAGGGAGAGAGGACCAGCCACCGGAGAGAGGCGUGAAACCCUCCCAGUCCAGGCGCUCUCCAUGGCGUCUAAUCAGCAAACGAGGAUCCAAGCUUACCUGGAGAAGAACAAAAUAGGUCCCCUGUUCGAGGAAUUGAUGACCAGGCUCAUAACAGAGACACCAGACCAGCCAAUCCCAUUUCUCAUUGACCAUCUUCAGUCAAAACAGGGGCACCGCAGUCAACUUCAAAGAACCUUGUCUGGGUCUGCAGCUUUAUGGGCAGAAAGUGAAACAUCAGAACACAAAGGAGCUAGAAGAGACUUCAGAAGUUAUGAUAAACCCUGGCAGGUAAACGCAAAGAAACCAAAGAAGUCCAAGAGUGACCUUGCUGUGUCUAAUAUUUCUCCACCAUCACCGGAAUCCAAAUCAUUGCCAAGGUCAGUGGAGCAUCCUAAGUGGAACUGGCGGAUCAGACCAGAAAGCCACGACUUUGAUGAAUUAAAUCACAUCCUUCAAGAGAGCAAGAAGCUGGGGAAAGCCCUUGAGAAUCUCUCUAGAAGCAUUGCUAUUUCAGAUGAACUUGAUAAGGAUACAAUGGCUUUUAAUUCAACACUUCUGAGACCUCGAGUAAUUGGAGAAUGGGUUGGUAGAGAAGAAAAUGAUGCUGAUCCACUUGCUGCUGAAAUGUUGCAACCCCCAAUUCCCAGAAGCAAAAAUGAGCAGUGGGGAAGUGAAGACAGCCCUGCAGGAAGCUUAAAGAUGGAACCCAAGAGUAAAGGAUUAAAACAGCAGCAGCAACAACACAAGAAGCUUCUAGCAGCAAUGUUAUCUCAAGAUUCUUUUGAAUCCAUCCACAGUCCCACACCAUCUGUAACAGAAGAAGAUAUUGACAAUGAAGAUGAUGCAAUGGAAUUGCUGGAAGACCUAGAUGAUUUGAGAAUGGAAGGAGUAACUACCCUGAUGCCUUCUGGGAGCAAAUUUAACCCUACUCGAACAGCUCAUCUUCCAGAACCCCAGGCAAAGGUCACGUUGAACAUCUGCUCCAGGUGUGCCAGGUUGCAAGGUGACAAUCUGGCAGAAGGGACAGAAGAAGUUUCGCAGUUGCUUCAUACACCUGAGGAAGCAGUCCCAGACUCUGUAGAAACAGAUUCUUUAUGUGCAACGGAAGCAAUGGAGGAUGAUGAAUUUGAAAGUGCUUCUCAAAUAAUAGGACCUUGCCCCCCAGUAUGGGACCUGGCUAACCUGGCUACUAGAAGUGGGAGCUCAACAAGUUUAAAACUCUUGAAAGAUUCCUUAGCUGUGAAGGAACUACAGAGCAUGGAGAAGCAUCUUGCUGAUAUUGAAAAGGACCUUGCAUUGUGGGAAGAAGGAAGACUUGCUAGAAGUCCAAGCAGUAUGCAUAAUAUUUCAGUUGCAUCUGACCUUCAAGGAAAUCUUCAGUCAUCACCAAGCCUUAGCACAAGACCUCCAGAACCCAGCCAAACAGGGAAAAUCAUUCAGCUCAAGCUCCAGGGAAACAAAUCACCCCCUUCGGGUGACAGCAGAGUACGGGUCUCCAGUAUCUCAAAUAGUAGGCCUCAUCUUCUCAUAUCCCAGACAAACAGGCCUCAGACACUGACAGUUCCAGGAAGCAGACCUGUAACUCCAAACAGUUUGUUGUCUCGACCUCUUACCCCUAGCAACCAAGGAAAGAAGGAAAGGAUUAUUAAUAUUCAAAGGAGCAAGUCUGUCCCAUCUAAGAGUCAAAUUGGGAGAGCCCUCAGCACUCCUUCUGGGUUAGUUAUUCCAGUAAGUGGAGACAAGCUAACAAGUACUACUAUGAGAAGCAGUUUAUCUGAACUAAUAGAGGCCAAAGAGCUUGGAAAGAUGAUACUACUUCAUCAAUGGGAGAAGCCUCCAGUAGGGGACUCUCACUGAAAAACUUCAUGGAAGAUGAGGAUUCUUUAAAGCAUUUGCAGCUUGUUCAUCGGCCAUGGAUUUUGCCAAGUGACACUGAGAGUGAAGGAGUUGAAGCAGAUCAAGAUAAAUGUAUGUGAAGUUGGUAGAAGAAUAUACAUAUAGUAAUUAAAGAAAUUAUCAAUUAUUAAAAUCAACCUAUAGUUCUGCUUUUAUUACAUAUAAUAAUUUAAAGAAUGGUUAUUUUUUUAAUUUAAAUAGGAAAAAGAACUAAUAUUACCAGUGAUGCCGAAAUGUGGAAUCACAGAUCAUUAUCUAACUAUGUCAGAGAAGGCUUGGGGAGGUUAGUCUUAAGUGCUUCUCUUAACAUGUGGUCAGUGUCCUGGGAUUUAGAUAAUCCAACUUCUGGUUAUUUUAGAUGGAAAUUUGAUAUGUUAAAUUUGUCCAAUGCAAAUGACUUUGCUUAAAGUCUUUCUCUAUUUUAACUUGUCUAGGGUUUUUUUUACUCCUUAUAUUUUUAUAAUAUUUUCUCAUUUUUAGAUUAAUAAACAUUAACAUAUUUAACCAUGUGUGCCAAAAUGUACCAUUUGAAUUUCACUGAGUUAGAUAGUCACUGUUACCUGUGCUGUGUUCUUUGUGGUGUUCUGUAAUUACUGCUUUUUAAAGUAUCUAAUCUUAUUUUUUUAUAAAAAAGAAGGGAGUUGCUCAUGGUGAGCAGAUAAAUAAGAAUGAAAUGCAUGCAAAAGAAAAGCAAAACUUCUUAUGCAAUGAACAGUAUUUGGCCAUAUAUUCAAUUUUGAAUACUGUUCACAUGAUCUUUUAAAAAACAACUAAUAUAUACUUAUACUUUUGAACAUGUUUAUACACUGAUGCUCACCAGUGGUUUGAUGUUAACAAAAUAGUAGCUUUCUUCGGCAUGUUUUCCAUUUGUUUUCUUGUUUGUCUCAAGUUAUCUGUGUUUGGUUGUUG